rnacentral:rRNA from 1 species
UACGGAGGAUCCAAGCGUUAUCCGGAAUCAUUGGGUUUAAAGGGUCCGCAGGCGGGUCUAUAAGUCAGUGGUGAAAUCUCUGGGCUCAACCCAGAAACUGCCAUUGAUACUGUAGGUCUUGAAUUCAGUCGGAGUAGGCGGAAUGUGUAGUGUAGCGGUGAAAUGCAUAGAUAUUACACAGAACACCGAUAGCGAAGGCAGCUUACUAGGCUUGAAUUGACGCUCAUGGACGAAAGCGUGGGUAGCGAACAGG